rnacentral:pre_miRNA from 1 species
UACAAUAUUUUGACUCUUCGUCUUAUUUGAAAUUUUUUUGCCACUAAUAUUUUUAUUGCUACUAGAUGAUAAAAUAUAAAUACUAUUAAUUUUUUUAAGUUUUUUAUAAAUUUUUCAAAUAAGACGAAUGGUCAAACGUUGGACAUGAAAA